CACCCGCGUCUGCCAUUACAAGGCUUUUAUGGGCCUCGUCUGGUGGGCUUUUCCCUGUGGUGGCGCCCUUCUCGUCACCCAGUAUAUCCGAUUCACAUUCAGAGAUGGAGCUAAAGCAAGCCCAUAAAGAAAAUGGCCCAUCCCAGAGCCUGAAUGACUUGGAAGGAUUAAUCUUUGUUAUUCCAUGAGAUGGGGAGAGGGAGAAUGUGAGAACCAGUUAUCAAGGCAAGGAAGCCAGAAGAGAGUUGUGAGACCCCAAGAAAUGCCUUUUUAUUAGUAAGUUCAUUUCAAACCAUUUCAAGAACGGGACUCUGUCCAUGGGAACCUAGCCUUUCUUUAACCCUGUGAGACCGGGAACAUGCCACAUGUGUUUGGCUUCACUUCCACAAUCCCAGGAACUAGCCAGUCCGUGGGACACAAUGGAUAUCAGUGAGGGUUGGCUCCCUCCCUGACAUCUACAUUAAUCAAGUCAUAUCUUGGAAGCCCAUCUGGCAUUUCCUUCUAUACCUAAACUUUCAAUAUGUAAGCAAGUUGGCUCUGUGCUGACUUUGUUUUCAAGCACUAUAAAUUCUGGCCAGUUUUAAUCGUAGUUGGAACCUCACCCACCUGGAAUCUCUCCCCGUUCGGAACUCAAAGGCUGUUCAUUCGAGGUUUCCCAGCCUGCUGCAACUUAAGAAUCGCAACUUAGAGUGCUUCUUUGGAUGGGUGAUGCUUUACAUUUUAAUCAUAUUUCUCCUUUUUUCUUUGUCUUUUAUGUAUUACUGUAUUGGUUGUUAUUGUAGGUGAUCUAUUCCGUGUAUUGUAUAAUUAAAUUUUCCUUUCGCUUAAA